GUUUUUACACCAUAAGCCACAGUAGGAUAUUUAGAGCUAGCGUUCUGGGCUAGAGGAUCCCUUGUCCAUUGGGAAGUUGCAGCCUUUGUUUUAGUGAUGGGUUCCUUAGAGUCAGCAUUCGAAUACUAUGUAGCCACUGCCAAAGGCACUUUACACACAUCAUAGUAUUUAUCUUUCCAGUGACAAUUCAUUCACUGAUUGUGUGUUUGCUGUUCUUGGGAAACACAGUGAGCAAUGAAGCCUUUAUGCACAGGGGAAAUAACUCACAUUCUCAAGCAGUCUGUGCAUGUCGAGCCCACAUUGCCAUUGAAGAACUGGCCAGACAAGGGCAGUUAAGAUGGCUCCUGGGGUAGAGGCACUUGCCGUGUAAGCCUGAUGACCUGGGUUCAAUCCACGGGCCCAUGGAAAGGUGGAAGGACAGAGUGGAUGCCACAAAGUAGCCCUCUGAUCUCCAAGCAUACUCUGUCAUGUGCAUGCCCUUCCCUCAUACUAAAUUAACAAGGGUAUAGCUCAGUGGUAGACCGCUUCCCUAACACGUCUAAGGGUUUGAGUCCCCUCUGAAACAAAACUUAACAGGACAGUAGUGGUUUGAGAAGGCUUACCCCCUAUCUUUUUUUAGGAUACUGCCUAACACCCUCCUUUUCCCACAGAGCCACCCUCCUCAAGGUCCGUAACACCAUCAACAGCCACGUGGAGCAGGUGUUUCAGGCCUACGAGCAGCAUGCGGCUGUGCUAGACAUUGACACCGUCCUGCGCCCCUCAGUUGUGAGCCCCUCUGUGGCUGACAUGUUGGAGUGGCUGCAGGACAUCGACAGACAUUAUGGAAGCUCCUGAAGAGAAAGUACCUCCUCUCCUCCAUCCACUGGGGAGACUUGGCCAGCAUCCAAGCACUGCCCAAGGCCUGGGACCAGAUUUCAGAAAAUGAGUGCCAAACUCUUGUGUCAGGUACUGGUGUCCGUCAGUCCUGUGCUGCCUCUCUGGAGAGGUUAGACACACCCCCUCCGUGCUCUUGGGCCUUGAUAAACCUGAUGCUUUGUCCCUUGCUUCCUGUUCUAGAUGUCCUGGUGAGUGUCUCCUUCUUCCUGGAGGAGCCAGGAGGCUGUGCAGCGUCUGGAGAUCUGGAGCACCACAGCUGAGGGCUGCCAUUGCUACACUAGGCUAUUUCUAAGUGAGGGUCAGCAUUGCUACCUGACUCACUGGAAUAGCAGUGCCUAGGACUUCUCCGUGCUAGGCCAUGGCCAAGGGUCCAUGACAGCUGCACCUAUGACUCUGAGAAGCAGAUAGAGGCUGAGGAGACAGGAAAGGCAGUGCUGAUAAACAGUGUCCACCAAGGCAGGAAAGGGCAGAAUGCAAGGUUGUGUGGCCACCGCUGCCUAUGUCAUCUGAACCAUAGUCUCUGGUUGGCUCAGGUCCUGAUUCUGUGUGUGUCAGUAUCUGAGUCCUUAAUGGCUUAAAGAUAGGAGUGGGUCUGGGAGUCCAGGGCGGGAGCAGUGUGUGUGUCUGGGGGGAGGGGGAAAGUUGGGGGACAAAGUCAAUCACCUGCAAAACCCCAAAAAGGAAAGGACUGAAGAAAAGGGAACUUUUAAAAUGUUUACUCCUUCACCGAAGCUCAUUAUGAAGCCAGUUUCCAUUUCCAAAGUCAGCCACCAGGGGGCGAUGGUGCAGCGUGAGCGGUUCUGAAUGCCUUGUUCUUGAGGGAGGUCCCCUGUUGCUGUUAAAAGCCACUGAGGUGUCUGUGGGGAGCUGGGUAUCCCACCCAGGACUAGGGAGGCAAAGACAGGUGGGUCUUUGUGAUUUUGAGAUCACCUUGGUCUCUAUAGCUCCAGGUCAACCAAGGCCACAUACUGAGACUGUCUCAAAAAGGAAGACAAAAAGGUAAAGGGACCUUGCAUUGGCCACGGUCUUCUGAGUUUGGGGUAACCGGCCAGGGGAGGGAAUGCCGGCUGUGAUGGUUGGUUUUUAUGGUCCACUUGACAAAGCCACCUCGGAAGGGAGUCUCAGUGAGGAAUGUUCUAGAUUUGGUUGGCUUGCAGACAUGCAAGAUUUUCUUAACUGAGGUGAGAAGACCCAUCCUGAAUGUGAGUGGCAGCAUUUCAUGGGCUGGAGCCAGGAUCAAAGGAGAAAGAGCAGGCUAAGCACUUAGCAGGCAUUCACCUUUGAUGGUGAGUAUGCUGUGACCAGCAGCUGCUUCAGGUUCCUGCCACUGACUCUCCUGUAGUAAUGGAUUCUAACUUCAAAUUAUAAGCCCAAUAUCUGCCAAUAGGUGUUAUCAUGUUUUAGGGUUCUCUAAAGGAACAGGACUAGUGAUAACAUGAAUGAAUAUAAAGAGAGAGUACUGAGGGCAGCAAGAGUGAGGGCCGGCGUACCUAAAGCAAAAGCUUUCUUCUUCCAUAUGAUGAUAUGUGGACUCCCACCACAGGGUGUGGCCCAGAUAUGGGGUGGGUCCUACCCCCGAAUGAUCCAGAUUUAGAGUGGGUCUUCCCACCUCAAAUGAUCCAAUCAAGAAAGCCCUCACAGGCCUGCCUAGUUGCUUGAGUCUUAGUUGAUUCCAGAUGUCAAGUUGACAGCAAAGAUUAGCUAUCACAUGCAGUGCCGGGAAAGAGACUGAGAGGCAGCCUGGAGUGGUGCCGACCCUUGCCUUCUGUGCCACAGCCACUGCUCGGGGGUCUCAGCUUCCCAUGUGCUCUACGAGUCAGGGCUGCCGUGUACAGGGCGUAGUGCAGAGAAUGGGUUUAUUUUAGCUUUUGAUUUUACAAGAUUGGGUUUCUCUGUGUAGCCCUGGCUGUCCUGGAACUCACUCUAAACCAGGCUGAUCUCAAAGAUCCACCUGCCUCUGCCUCCUGAGUACUAGGAUCAAAGGCAUGCGCCACCACCACCCACCCAGCUAAGGAUGGAGACUUUUAAAAAGAAAGUGGCUUUGUUUUCUUACUAUAUUUUUUGUUUUCAAUUAAAGAAAAAAUUUAAAUACAGAAAAGUAUAAUGUAAAACCCACCCUAAUAUUUUGAUCUGUAUCCCUUUACUGUUCUUCACAAAUUUCAAAACAAAGACAUUGACACAAACUCAUUGUUUCUAAAUUUGUGGAUAGUUGGACAUCUGUAAAUAAGUCAAUAAAACUGUACUAUAU
rnacentral:lncRNA from 1 species